rnacentral:rRNA from 1 species
CAGUCGCCGCGGGAAUACGAAGGGGGCUAGCGUUGUUCGGAUUUACUGGGCGUAAAGCGCACGUAGGCGGACUUUUAAGUCAGGGGUGAAAUCCCGGGGCUCAACCCCGGAACUGCCUUUGAUACUGGAAGUCUUGAGUAUGGUAGAGGUGAGUGGAACUCCGAGUGUAGAGGUGAUAUUCGUAGAUAUUCGGAGGAACACCAGUGGCGAAGGCGGCUCACUGGACCAUUACUGACGCUGAGGUGCGAAAGCGUGGGGAGCAAACAGGAUUAGAUACCCCGGUAGUCCCUGUCUCUUAUAC